rnacentral:lncRNA from 1 species
ACUGGAUCCUAUUAAAUAAUUCAAUGGUAGCGGUGUAAUUUUGGUUGGAACCAGCACGGAUUCCCAAGUCGUGACUGCAAAAAGUGGUCAAACCUGUCCUGACACCCAGAGGUCUGCAUGAGGGGUGGCCACUGAAGGAGGAGUUCUCAAAGGCCACAGGUGAUGAAGAGCUUGGAUGAAUAAACUUAGAAGUCCCAGGAAAAUAGCAAAAAUUUCAUCUCCUGAAGAAAUUUGAAGAUUUUUUUGGAUAUUCUUUUAAAGGUGAAACUUUUCUUCUUUAGUUGUCACAGGUAGUACUGAUGGAAUUGGAAAAUCAUAUGCAGAAGAGUUAGCAAAGCAUGGAAUGAAGGUUGUCCUUAUCAGCAGAUCAAAGGAUAAACUUGACCAGGUUUCCAGUGAAAUAAAAGAAAAAUUCAAAGUGGAGACAAGAACCAUUGCUGUUGACUUUGCAUCAGAAGAUAUUUAUGAUAAAAUUAAAACAGGCUUGGCUGGUCUUGAAAUCGGCAUCUUAGUGAACAACGUGGGAAUGUCGUAUGAGUAUCCUGAAUACUUUUUGGAUGUUCCUGACUUGGACAAUGUGAUCAAGAAAAUGAUAAAUAUUAAUAUUCUUUCUGUUUGUAAGAUGACACAAUUGGUACUGCCUGGCAUGGUGGAAAGAUCCAAAGGGGCUAUUCUGAACAUUUCAUCUGGCAGUGGCAUGCUCCCUGUCCCACUCUUGACCAUCUAUUCUGCAACCAAGACUUUUGUAGAUUUCUUCUCUCAGUGCCUCCA